rnacentral:lncRNA from 1 species
ACAGUUGUUAUCUCAUGAUUACAUUGUUGGUUCACUAAUCUCUGGGUGUAUAACAAGCAAAGGUGGACAAAUUUCUAAAGUUUAAAAAAACAUUUGCCAUUUUAACUUAUGAAGUUUUACCGCUAACGUUAUAGAAUUUUAAAUGGAUCUUGUAAUAAGGCAAUAGACUGAUGUAAUCUGAAUCACCACAGAAGUAACAUCUUGCCUUUCUUCAUUCCAUGAUCACUUGCAGAUACUGGCCUUCAGGGAUUUCUAUUAGUAACAAAAUUAUGUACAAGAUGCUUUUCAUCCUUUUCAUUAGUUUGUUGGUGAUGCUUAGCACAGUUGAAG